UGACACUCGCUAUUCUGUGGUUGUCCCCAUAAUUGGUGUUCAGGUACCUCUUGUUAAGUAUAAUAGGAUCAACGAUAGAGUUUAAUUGAUAUGAGAUUAUGAUGAGAAAUUGAAACAAGGUUGUAGGGUUUUCGAUGGGCCAUUGAGCAUGAUAAGUGACAAGCAAGAGUUAACAGUAUCAAGGCUUUGAAGAAGCACGUGCCGAUUUAGACAAGAGUACAAUUGAUAAAGAAGUAGUUCAGAAGGUCUGGAACAGGAUUGCCCCAGGUUUAACCUCUCAAUUUGAUGCACCAUACACAGUUCCAAUUAUUGCACCACGCCAGUUCUAUUUUAAACGGGGAAGAUGAUCCUCGUUGCCCACUAGGUCGCCUGAAAAUUCCAGAAUCAAGAGCUGGCAAAGCUUAUGAAGAGGCUAAUUGUCCUCAGGAUUUCAAGGUACAAAGCUGAUCUUCCAUUUCCAUAUCCUGCUUUUCUAAUGUAAAUAGUAACUGAAAAGCUUUUUUUUCUUACUUUGCUGUCAUAAGUAUGAGUUUUGAGUUUUGAGGACCUGAAAGGAAAGAACGAACAUAUUAUGAUAUUGCUGCAAUUCAGUACUCGAAUCUAAUCUAUAAUU